rnacentral:rRNA from 1 species
GGCGGCACGCCUUAUACAUGCAAGUCGAACGAAGUAGCAAUACUUAGUGGCAGACGGGUGAGUAACAUGUAGGUAUCUACCCUUUGGUGAGGAAUAACACGAGGAAACUUGUGCUAAUACCUCAUAAGUCUUUACGGAGAAAGCUUUAUGCGCCGAAGGAUGAGCCUGCACUUGAUUAGUUUGUUGGUGGGGUAAUGGCCUACCAAGACUUUGAUCUAUAGCUGAUCUGAGAGGAUGAUCAGCCACAUUGGGACUGAGACACGGCCCAAACUCCUACGGGAGGCAGCAGUAGGGAAUAUUGCACAAUGGAGGAAACUCUGAUGCAGCGAUGCCGCGUGAGUGAAGAAGGCCUUUGGGUUGUAAAGCUCUUUCGUCGGGGAAGAAAAUGACUGUACCCGAAUAAGAAGGUCCGGCUAACU